rnacentral:rRNA from 1 species
GACGUAGGGCGCGAGCGUUGUCCGGAUUUAUUGGGCGUAAAGAGCUCGUAGGCGGUUUGUCGCGUCUGCUGUGAAAUUUCGGGGCUCAACCCCGAACUUGCAGUGGGUACGGGCAGACUAGAGUGUGGUAGGGGAGACUGGAAUUCCUGGUGUAGCGGUGAAAAUGCGCAGAUAUCAGGAGGAACACCGGUGGCGAAGGCGGGUCUCUGGGCCGAAACUGACGCUGAGGAGCGAAAGCGUGGGGAGCAAACAGG